CGCUGAGUUUGAUCCUGGCUCAGGAUGAACGCUAGCGGCAGGCUUAACACAUGCAAGUCGAGGGGUAUAAGUCUUCGGAUUUAGAGACCGGCGCACGGGUGCGUAACGCGUAUGCAAUCUACCUUUUACAGAGGGAUAGCCCAGAGAAAUUUGGAUUAAUACCUCAUAGUAUGUGAGAAUCGCAUGGUUUUUCACAUUAAAGUUCCAACGGUAAAAGAUGAGCAUGCGUCCCAUUAGCUAGAUGGUAAGGUAACGGCUUACCAUGGCAACGAUGGGUAGGGGUCCUGAGAGGGAGAUCCCCCGACACUGGUACUGAGACACGGACCAGACUCUACGGGGAGCAGCAGUGAGGUAAUAUUGGACAAUGGGGCGCAAGCCUGAUCCCAGCCAUGCCGCGUGCAGGAACGACGGUCCUAUGGA
rnacentral:rRNA from 1 species